rnacentral:rRNA from 1 species
CGCGUGGUUCUAUUUUGUUGGUUUUUAGAACCGCCGUAAUGAUUAAUAGGGACAGUCGGGGGCAUCUGUAUUCAAUUGUCAGAGGUGAAGUUCUUGGAUCUAUUGAAGACAAACUACUGCGAAAGCAUUUGCCAAGGAUGUUUUCAUUGAUAAGGAACGAAAGUUAGGGGAUCGAAGACGAUCAGAUACCGUCGUAGUCUUAACUAUAAACUAUGCCGACUAGGGAUCGGACGAUGUUAUUUUUUGACUCGUUCGGCACCUUUCGAGAAAUCAAAGUGCUUGGGCUCCAGGGGGAGUAUGGUCGCAAGGCUGAAACUUAAAGAAAUUGACGGAAGGGCACCACCAGGGGUGGAACCUGCGGCUUAAUUUGACUCAACACGGGGAAACUCACCAGGUCCAGACACAGUGAGGAUUGACAGAUUGAUAGCUCUUUCUUGAUUCUGUGGGUGGUGGUGCAUGGCCGUUCUUAGUUGGUGGAGUGAUUUGUCUGCUUAAUUGCGAUAACGAACGAGACCUUAACCUGCUAAAUAGCCCGUUCUGCUCCGGCAGUACGCUGGCUUCUUAGAGGGACUAUCGGCUCAAGCCGAUGGAAGUUUGAGGCAAUAACAGGUCUGUGAUGCCCUUAGAUGUCCUGGGCCGCACGCGCGUUACACUGACAAAGCCAGCGAGUAUUUCCUUAGCCGGAGCUUGGUAUCUGUAAACUUUGUCGUGC